GACGAACGCUGGCGGCGUGCCUAAUACAUGCAAGUCGAACGCAGCGGGGACGGGUGAGUAACACGUGGGUAACCUCCCAUCAGAGGGGAUAACAACUGGAAACAGGUGCUAAACAGAUAUUGAUGGAUGGACCCGCGGUGCAUUAGCUAGUUGGUAAGGUAACGGCUAACCAAGGCUACGAGGCAUAGCCGAGCUGAGAGGUUUGUCGGCUACACUGGUACUAAGACACGGCCCAGACUCCUACGGGAGGCAGCAGUAGGGAAACUUCGGCAAUGGACGAAAGUCUGAACGAGCAACGCCGCGUGAGUUAAGAAGGUUUUCGGAUCGUAAAACUCUGUUGUUAGAGAAGCGGUAGCUAACCAGAAAGCCACGGCUAACUACGUGCCAGCAGCCGCGGUAAUUC
rnacentral:rRNA from 1 species